GACGAACGCUGGCGGCGUGCUUAACACAUGCAAGUCGAACGGAAAGGCCCUGCUUUUGUGGGGUGCUCGAGUGGCGAACGGGUGAGUAACACGUGAGUAACCUGCCCUUGACUUUGGGAUAACUUCAGGAAACUGGGGCUAAUACCGGAUAGGAGCUCCUGCUGCAUGGUGGGGGUUGGAAAGUUUCGGCGGUUGGGGAUGGACUCGCGGCUUAUCAGCUUGUUGGUGGGGUAGUGGCUUACCAAGGCUUUGACGGGUAGCCGGCCUGAGAGGGUGACCGGCCACAUUGGGACUGAGAUACGGCCCAGACUCCUACGGGAGGCAGCAGUGGGGAAUAUUGCACAAUGGGCGGAAGCCUGAUGCAGCAACGCCGCGUGCGGGAUGACGGCCUUCGGGUUGUAAACCGCUUUCGCCUGUGACGAAGCGUGAGUGACGGUAAUGGGUAAAGAAGCACCGGCUAACUACGUGCCAGCAGCCGCGGUGAUACGUAGGGUGCGAGCGUUGUCCGGAUUUAUUGGGCGUAAAGGGCUCGUAGGUGGUUGAUCGCGUCGGAAGUGUAAUCUUGGGGCUUAACCCUGAGCGUGCUUUCGAUACGGGUUGACUUGAGGAAGGUAGGGGAGAAUGGAAUUCCUGGUGGAGCGGUGGAAUGCGCAGAUAUCAGGAGGAACACCAGUGGCGAAGGCGGUUCUCUGGGCCUUUCCUGACGCUGAGGAGCGAAAGCGUGGGGAGCGAACAGGCUUAGAUACCCUGGUAGUCCACGCUGUAAACGGUGGGUACUAGGUGUAGGGUCCAUUCCACGGGUUCCGUGCCGUAGCUAACGCUUUAAGUACCCCGCCUGGGGAGUACGGCCGCAAGGCUAAAACUCAAAGGAAUUGACGGGGCCCCGCACAAGCGGCGGAGCAUGCGGAUUAAUUCGAUGCAACGCGUAGAACCUUACCUGGGUUUGACAUGGAUCGGGAGUGCUCAGAGAUGGGUGUGCCUCUUUUGGGGUCGGUUCACAGGUGGUGCAUGGCUGUCGUCAGCUCGUGUCGUGAGAUGUUGGGUUAAGUCCCGCAACGAGCGCAACCCUUGUUCACUGUUGCCAGCACGUUAUGGUGGGGACUCAGUGGAGACCGCCGGGGUCAACUCGGAGGAAGGUGGGGAUGACGUCAAGUCAUCAUGCCCCUUAUGUCCAGGGCUUCACGCAUGCUACAAUGGCUGGUACAGAGAGUGGCGAGCCUGUGAGGGUGAGCGAAUCUCAGAAAGCCGGUCUCAGUUCGGAUUGGGGUCUGCAACUCGACCUCAUGAAGUCGGAGUCGCUAGUAAUCGCAGAUCAGCAACGCUGCGGUGAAUACGUUCCCGGGGCU
rnacentral:rRNA from 1 species